UGCCUGCACUAUGAAUGGGGCUUAAGAAAGGGUGUCCUUGGGCUCCCAUCCUCUCCUCCAUCCCCUGCCUCCUGACACGGGGCAGCAGCGUGCGAACAGAGCAGUGUGGGAGAUGAGAGGGGAGCGCACUCCAAGCUCACUGCCUUACUGUGCAGCCAGCUUGUCCCGCUGCUGCACGGGGAUGCUGAGGAUGCUGCUGGAGAAUGCACAGACAAGGAAGGACAGUGGGGAGGGGGAAGCUCGGGGGCUUUCUGCAGCUUUGUUCUUCGGGCUGAACUGGGUGUGAGCUGUGUUUUGGCCACGCACCUGCUGCAGAUGUCGGAAUGGCUUUCUUUGCACAAACACCUGGAUGCGUAGGUCUGGCCAGGAAACCUUCAAGUAGGAGCACUUUCCCUUCUAAGCAGACCGAGGAGAAAAUGCAGUGGGAGAGAAGAUCCACUCUUCUGAGGACAGAGUACUUGGCCAACGUUGAGUGAAUCCUGGUGCACCAUAGGUCGGUAGUCAUUAUCAUCAUUGUUAUACUGGCCUCCAAAACCCAGAGUCCUGCUCUAGAUGGUUCUGCUAAUAAGAAGGACAAUGCAAGGAUGGAGAAAAUUGGGUGUUGGUGAGCGAGGAUGGAACCGGUGACCACCCAGGCUUCACUUCUCAUCUCUGCUGAUACGCUCUAAAAUUGGGCUCCCCUCCAGCACGUUUGGAGCAGCAGUGCUGAGAACGUUGCUCUGAACCCUCCAUCCACCACUGAGAAAAACUCACAGAGGAGGAAAACCAGGUUCCAGAUUGCUCAGCAGAAAGGAAAAACCAGCUUGGAAGCCCCUCUGGAAGAAAGCCAGGCAGUAAUCUCACGGCGUGUGGGUGAGAAUGGCAGCAUCUCCUUUGGCCUCUGACAGAGCAGCUCACACUCAGCAUCCAACCUCCUCCGUUUAUAGCCCCGAUUUCCAACCAGCUAAAUGAAAAUACUUGUGGGCAGCAAAAAUAGCCAGUGCUGAAAACCUGUGUCUACCGAGGGUGGAAAUUGCUGGGAGUUCCUCUGUGUCCACAGCCGAUCAUUAGGAGCGGUGGCAUAAAUCCGGCGGUUGCGCGGCGUGCCGCUGGCGGGCUCCCUGCAGAGACCCAGGGCUGAGUGCCCACCGCAGCCCAUGGGAUGCUCUGAGGAUGCUGCUGAGGAAUUGGCUUUUUGGGGGGAAGUAGGAAAAAGCAGCACGCGUUUUUCCCUUGCAUCAGCACGGUAUGCAGUAGGGAGGAGUUUGCCGUCGUUGAGAGGUAAGCUCGUUUCUGCUCCCUCUGUGGGACAGGGGAUGCGGUGCUGGGAUGAGAGUUGGGUUGCAUGGAGCUGCUGAGGUUGCUCCAUCUGUGGUGGUGUGUUCACAGUGCAGAAUUUAUCGCUGUAAGUAUGCAAAUGUGCCAUGCAAACAUAUGCAAAUCCUGAUCUUUUAUCAGUUGGCAAGGUACGGUUAAACAUCAUAAUUGGGAGGCUCAGCAGCCAGCAGAGGAGCACUGCAGGGUAGUGCCAGGGCUCAGCUGCCAGCAGCACAGGCUGGGAAUGCUGUAGGUUGCUGUUGUGUUAUAGCAGCAGCAAGGAAGUGUUUUGCUUCAUCAUUUAGCAAAUGCAGUCAUGCAAUGAGGCAGUGCCACCAUUGGUGCUUUGGUUGACUCUCCUUGCAGCUCCAGGUGCGAGUGGGGGUGCACUGACCAUCAGCUCAUAUUGCUCCUGUACUGACUCAUUUAUCUUUUGGUGCUCAUUCUCCAACACCACAUGGAAAUGCUUGAGCAGCCACUCUAACCUUUGGGCUGCAGUAAUGAGCCUCACAUGGCAUCUGAUUGGCAACAUGUGGUCUGGGUCAUUGUUUUGCUUCAGCUGCUUGUUAGGCCCUGAUCUCCAUUUGAUUUCAAGGUGAAACUAAUGGGAUUUUGUUGAGGCUCCUCUCGUUCAGCGUGGAUCUCACAGCUAAGCAUCCUGGUGGAGGCAGGGAGGGGUCAGAGCUGACCUGACUCCUUCCCCAGCUCUGCAGGGAAUGGAGGCAAUGUUCUGCUACGUGUGGACUCUGCUGGUGCAUCUCUGGACUCAGAUGGAAGCAGGUGUUCCUGUUAGAGAACGUGGAGGGGACGAAUGCAGCAAGCUCUUGUGAGAAAACAGGAACCUGUGAUGGUCAACCCUUCAUUGGAAGGGGAUCCCUCAGUGCUGGAUCUGGAAUGCAGGACUUGGUGUCCUGUGAGUCCAGAGGAUGAGCAGUGGGUUGUGGCUGAGCAAGAGACAAGGGAAUGGCUGAGACAAAGAUCUGUGCUGAUGACACAGCAGUGGGAUAAGUUCUCAAUAUGCAACAAAAACCUUAUUCCUCUCCUCAGAAUUUCUGCUUUUAUUUAUUUUUUUUUAAUUUAUGGCACUUCUGCAGACAAAAACUGCCAAAUAAAAUAUAUCCUGGGGGAUAAUAUGGGAAAGGGAGCAGGGCAGGCAGGGAGGAGCAGUGUAACCAAACCCCCGUACCCAGUGCUUGCCUGCAAGAAGAUCCAGCAGCUCUUGAACCAGUGACCAGCAGUGUUGCUUGCAGAUACUUCUCCCUUUGAGCUCAUGCAUCAGCAGCAUGUCACCAGGGAUGGUUCCCUGUGGCAGAUGGGCCGUCUGCCACUUACUGAAUGUGUCAGCAAUCAGUUUGUUAUGUGCUCCAUCCAAUGCAACUCCAGUGCUGCUCACUGCCUUUACUCCUUCCAUCCAACUCAGUGCUCCUGCACUGAGAACUCCUCAGAACCAGCCAUGCCAGCUGGUUCUAAACCAUCUAAAUGGAAUGGAAUGGCUUUCUAGUGUGCUAGCUAAUUAAGUCAUAGAGUCAUUGAGGUUAGAAAAGACCACUAAAAUCAUCUAGUCCAACUGUCCAACCAUUGUGCAAGUCCCACUCUGCUGCUUGCAGCCCAUUCACAUUUGCUUGCUGCAGCCCACAUGGACUUGGAGGCAGCUUGUGGUGUUCUGCCAUGAAAUGUUACUGGGGGGAAAAUACUCUGCUCUUUGCAAAAUUAGUUUUGCCAUCAAUAUAUUCUGUUAAAAAUAUCGGUCUCUCCAAACUGAAAAUAUUUUGCUUUUUCCAUUGCCGCAGCUUUCUCCAAUUUUCCCGUGGUAUAAAUAGAAAUGGGAUGCAGAUUUUUUUUUUUUUUUUUAAUUUAAAUUUUUAUUUUUUAACCUUGGAUUCUUGUUUUGUGAAAAGACAAACAUUUGCCAAGAGGUAAACACAUCUGGCAAAACCUUCACUUGCUAAGAAGUCAUCUGACUUGGAAGGAUAUUUCGGAGAGAAUAUGAGAACGUAUCGGAUCGACUCUGCAAAGGAAUGGCCUUCUUCACUCAUGUUUUCCAUAAGAUCCUGGCCAACUUGGCCAAUAACUAAGGCAAGGAACAGGGGAAAAAAAAGUGGUGUUGCCAGUUGCAUCUGAAUUGCUACAGACAGAAAGACAGCUGCUUGAAAGCAAUAACAAGGGUGAGACUUUCACAGCUUUGAUUUCCUAUAUGUAUUUUGUCUUCUGUAAGCUAUACAAAAGUAGAACUUCCAGAGAUUCUGAUCAUGCAACUGCUUCUGAACAUAUUUCAUUUGACUAUCCACGGGCACAAGCUGAAGCUACCUAUAGUACAGAGCCAUUACCUCUGGCUUUUGAGCAUACAUGAGAAAACCAGUUAUGGAAGCAGAAAUAAAAGUGCAGUUUUCAAAUGUGGUGCAGUUUUCUCUCUUCAUUUUGGGACACCGAAGUUCUUUUACAGGCCUACCUGGAAUGACUUUGGAGAAGAAUCUCCAUAACUGAGAGAGGAACCCAGACCACUGAAAUGUGAAAGAAGCCCCAUCCAGUUCCCCAGGCAGACAGCAUUCGGAUUUGUCUCAAGCACAGCUUCAGCCACACACCUGCAGGAUGGAAACAGGCAGAGCAAACAAUGAAACAAGGCUGUUUAUAAAGCCUUCAACACGUCAGGCAGGGAGAAGAGCCCAAGUUUCCACGUCAAGGCCUAAACGGACCAGAAUGACGCGAAACACAUGGAAAAUAUGGAAAAUGUGGAAUAAGUAAUAAAAUUAUAAAUAAAACAAAUACAAUAAA